rnacentral:rRNA from 1 species
UACGAAGGGGGCUAGCGUUGCUCGGAAUCACUGGGCGUAAAGCGCACGUAGGCGGGUUGUUAAGUCGGGGGUGAAAUCCUGGAGCUCAACUCCAGAACUGCCUUUGAUACUGGCGACCUUGAGUCCGGGAGAGGUGAGUGGAACUGCGAGUGUAGAGGUGAAAUUCGUAGAUAUUCGCAAGAACACCAGUGGCGAAGGCGGCUCACUGGCCCGGUACUGACGCUGAGGUGCGAAAGCGUGGGGAGCAAACAGG